rnacentral:rRNA from 1 species
AUUGAACGCUGGCGGCAGGCCUAACACAUGCAAGUCGAGCGAGCGGCGGACGGGUGAGUAAUGUAUGGGGACUGCCCGAUGGGGGGGGAUAACUACUGGAAACGGUAGCUAAUCACGCAUAUUAUCGGAUAACCCAUAUUGGAUUAGCUAGUAGGUGAGGUAAUGGCCCACCUGGGCGACUAUCCCUAGCUGGUCUGAGAGGAUGAUCAGCCCCACUGGGACUGAGACACGGCCCAGACUCCUACGGAGGCAGCAGUGGGGAAUAUUGCACAAUGGGCGCAAGCCUGAUGCAGCCAUCCCGCGUGUAUGAAGAAGGCCCUAGGGUUGUAAAGCACUUUCGGUCGGGAGGCGUUACCUACAGAAGAAGCACCGGCUAACUCCGUGCCAGCAGCCGCGGUAAUAC